rnacentral:tRNA from 1 species
GCGGGAGUGGCGGAACUGGCAGACGCGCAAGACUUAGGAUCUUGUGGGGUAACACCCGUGGAGGUUCAAGUCCUCUCUCCCGCACCA